GUGCUCGCUUCGGCAGCACAUGUACUAAAAUUGGAAAGAUAGAGAAGAUCAGCAUGGCCCCUGCGCAAGGAUGACACGCAAGUUCGUGAAGUGCUCCAUAUUUAA
ensembl:snRNA U6 U6 spliceosomal RNA